rnacentral:misc_RNA from 1 species
UUUUACUGAACGACUCUCCUAUUUCCUUUUCACCUUUACUCUUACAUACAUCAUCAAGGUACUUCAAGUCUUCAACACGUCUGAUUACUACAGUAAAAAAGAAGUAACCUACCACAACUUUUCACAGAUGUCUAUUGCCACUAAAGGUUUGCACCAAAUAUCACAUGAAGGGGAAUUAUUACAUAAUGGACCACAUCUUCAGUGAUAUCCUAUGAAGCACCAACAUGGACAUGGGACAUGAUAUAUAUAUAUGUAUAUGUUGUAACAUCUACCUUCCUACUGUGUGCAGGAAUUCUCGUGAAACCUAGGGUUUCUAGGAUAGGUGGAUAGGGUGGAAAGAGUCUUGUCUGUGUUGCAAGUCUAUCUUAGAGGGGCUGGAGCAUUGUAAUAAGAGAUUUGAGGGCACAAUUUCCUUUAGAAACAAUAGGACAUUUGGCUGCCGAAAGUGCCUCUAGUGCUGUGGGUAUAAAUAGACUCAAACGAGCAAAAGUUUAGUAAGGUUCUUUAAUUUCUUUGCUCAGG